UACGAAGGGGGCGAGCGUUGUUCGGAUUUACUGGGCGUAAAGGGCGCGUAGGCGGCCGAUCAAGUCAGGCGUGAAAGCCCCGGGCUCAACCUGGGAACUGCAUUGGAAACUAACGGGCUCGAGUGUGGCAGAGGGGGGUGGAAUUCCACGUGUAGCAGUGAAAUGCGUAGAGAUGUGGAGGAACACCGAUGGCGAAGGCAGCCCCCUGGGCUAACACUGACGCUCAGGCACGAAAGCGUGGGGAGCAAACAGG
rnacentral:rRNA from 1 species